GUGGUUGUUUUGAGCAGUGAAGUUUGUUUCUUAAUCUCCUUGGUUACGAGUUCUUGGAAAAAAAGUUCCUACUAAUAAUUAUUACCUGAAUUACUUAGGUAUUUUCUUGCGCAAAUUCUAUUUGCAAUUGCUACUCUUUUACGAUAUUUAAGUGAUCAGAAAAUGGAGGUGCUAGUAAAAAGUGUGCUGAUUGGGGCAGCCGCUCUGGUGGCGGCGGUGACCAUCGCUGUGGAGUGGUGGCAGUACCGUCAGGUACCGAAGACAUAUGUUGCUUAUGGACAACGAAAACCAAACUCGAAUUAAGGUCAAAUACUACAAAAGCAGAGAAUGGAGUCGCGAUAUUAUUUUGUUCUAAUUUAGUUGUAGUUUAGACUUAGAUAAGUAGUAAAAUAUCUUAGUUUUCCAAAGAUAUGUUUUUUUAUGAGGGGCAAUAAUCUAAUGGCUGCUAACUGUAUUUAAGAAGAGAUCUCGACUUGAGAAUCGUUCUAUGUUAAAAAAUAAUGGUUAAGAGUACUUUUUGAUAUUUGGCUUCCUACCUUAUUGGUAUUUAUUAUAUCACUACAUAGUAUAAAACAAAGUCGCUAUCCGCCGUCUGUCUGUCCCUAUGUUUGCUUAGAUCUUUUAAAAGCACACGGCCACCUUAUGGUAAGUGGUUACCGUGGCCUAUGAAAGCUUUUAACACAUCAGGCAUUACAUGCGCCUUGCCGACCCUAAAACUGCAAAUGUUGGAGGUGCCCAUGUUCGGCGCUAAUCGCUUAUCACCAGGUGAUCCGUUGCCUCGUUUGCUUUCCAAGUCCCAUUUCAUCGGAUUGGGCCCACUUGGGUUGAUGCCGAUACGGAGCCGCCAAGGACUUAAUGAAAAUGUCCCAUUUCGUAAAAUAAAAUAUUUCUUUUACGUGAAACUGCUAAUAUAAUUAAUAUUAAUUUUAAAUGAACGAACUAAAUCGUCUUUGUUGUCUAAGACUGAUUUAGCGUAUUUUAACUUUAAGUAAUGCAAUAUUUUUCGCCACAUUCAAAUGGAAAUUUACAUAAUUAUAUUAAAUUAUAAAUAUGUCUAAAUUAAUAAUGUAUUUAUUAUUAUAUUUACAACAAUCUUUAGCAUAUCAAUAGGUACUCAUCAUCUUUAUAAUAUGAGUCACAAGACAAGUCAUGGUGCCCGGAGGUUUAAGACGCCCGCUUCUCAUGCAUGAGGGUGCGGGCUCGAAACCUACCAACG